AUGUUGUGGUUCGGACACUGCAUUAGCUUCUUUUUAAAUCUCUCCCAGGUUUCAUACAAGGCUUCAGUUGGGAGCUGUCUAAAGUUACUGAUCUCAUCCCUCAACUU
rfam:Capsicum annuum cultivar Zunla-1 chromosome 6, whole genome shotgun sequence